rnacentral:rRNA from 1 species
AAUAUUGGACAAUGGGGGGAACCCUGAUCCAGCCAUGCCGCGUGUGUGAAGAAGGCCUUUUGGUUGUAAAGCACUUUAAGCGAGUAGGAGGCUACUUCGAUUACUACUCUAGGAUAGUGGACGUUACUCGCCGAAUCAGCCCCGGCUCCCUCUUUUCCAGCCGCCGCGGUAAUACAGAGGGUGAAAGCGUUAAUCGGAUUUACUGGGCGUAAAGCGCGCGUAGGUGGACAAUUAAGUCAAAUGUGAAAUCCCCGAGCUUAACUUGGGAAUUGCAUUCGAUACUGGUUGGCUAGAGUAUGGGAGAGGAUGGUAGAAUUCCAGGUGUAGCGGUGAAAUGCGUAGAGAUCUGGAGGAAUACCGAUGGCGAAGGCAGCCAUCUGGCCUAAUACUGACACUGAGGUGCGAAAGCAUGGGGAGCAAACA